ensembl:lncRNA
AUGGUCGUUUUCCUCCUCCUCUCCUCUUCCUCCUCUCCUCUCCUCCUCACUCAUCUCUCCUCCCCAAUGGCACAAUUCAAAAUUAGUUUAGCUUGGAUUUUAUUUUUUCAACAUAAGAUAGACUGGUUGUUUUUUCCUCCUCCUCCUCCUUCUCCUCCUCCAAUGCACAGCAAUUCAAAAUUAGUUUUGCUUGGAUUUUAUUGUUUAAACAUAAUAAGAUAGACUGGUUGUUUCCUCCUCCUCCUCCUCCUCCUCCUUUUCCUCCUCCUCCUCUUUCAAUGCACAGCAAUUCACAAUUUGUCUAGCUUGGAAUUUAUUCUUUCAACAUAAUAAGAUUGACUGAUUGUUUUCUUUGUUUCCUCCUCCUUUAUCUCACAGCAGUUCACAAUUUUUUUAUCUUGGAUUUAUGCUUUAAUCAAAAUAAGAUUCACUUAUUUAUUUUUUCUUUUCCUCGUUUUUCUCCUCCUCCUCCUCAUCCAUCCAAGAAUUCACAAUAUUUCAACAUGGAUAUAAUUAUUUCAACAUGAUAAGAUUGAUUGUUUCCUUUUCCUCCUCUUCCUUCUCCUCCUCAUCCUCUUCCUCCUCCUUCUCCUCCUUCUCCUCCUUUUUCUUUUCCUUCCCCCGAGCAGCAAUUCACAAUUUUUCUAGUUUGGAUUUUAUGCUUUCAACAUAAUAAGAUUGAGUGAUGUUGUUUCCUCCUCCCUCCUUUUUUCCAUCCUCUUCCUCCUCUCCUCCUCCCUCCUCCUCCUCCUCCUCCUCCUCCAAUGUGCAGCAAUUUACAAUUGUCUAGCUUGGAUUUUUUCUUUAAACAUAAUAAGAUUGAAUGAUUGUUUCCUUUUCCUCUUCCUCCUUCUUUUCCUCCUCUUCCUUCUCCUCCUCCUCCUUUUCAUCCCCCUUUAUGGGGGUAGCAAUUCACAAUUUUCAUAGGUUGUAUUAAUGCUUCAACAUAAGAUUGACUGGUUGUUUCUCUUCCUCCUCUCCUCCUCCUUCAUGCAGCAAUUCACAAUUUUAUUAGCUUGGAAUUUAUUCUUCCAGCAUAAGAUUGACUGAUAGUUUUUUCUUUCUCCUUUUCCUUCUUCUUUUUUUCCUCCUCCUUUUUCUUCUCCUCCUCCUCCUCCUCCUUCUCCUGCUCCUCCUCCUCCUCCCUCUGCCUUCUCCUCCUCCUCCUCUAUCGUCCAGCAAUUCACAGUUUUUCUAGCUUGGAUUUUAUUCUUUUCACAUAAUAAGAUUUACUGAUUCUUUCUUAAUCUUCCUUCUCCACCACCACCACCUCCUCCUCCUGCUCCUCCUCCUCCUCCAGGCAGCAAUUCACAAUUUUUCUAGCUUGGAUAUUAUUCUUUCAACAUAAUAAGUUUGACGGAUUCUUUCUUCCUCCUCCUUCUCCUUUUCCUCUUUUUUCUUCUCUUUUUUUUUUUUUAUUUUUUUAAUUUUAUUUUUUUUUGCUUCCUUCUACUACUCCUCCUCCUUCUCCUCCGGGCAGCAAUUCACAAUUUUUCUAGCUUGGAUUUCAUUCUGAAGUAUUUACACCUGGGCAUAAUUAACUUACCUUGUGACUUAAAUGAAGUAUUUACAAUUGUUUAAUAUUUACUGUGUGUAACUUACUUACCUUGUGACUUAAGUAUUUACAAUUGUUAAGUAUUUACUGGGCUUAGCUUACUUACCUUGUGACUUAAGUAUUUAAAAUUGUUAGGUAUUUACAACUGGGUGUAACUUACCUUGUGACUGACGUUUUCCAUUAUAUUUAUCUGAUGUAAGGAGACGUGAUUUUUUUUGCAAAACUUUCUGUUCUUCUUUAUCUCAUGGAAAUAACUUUUGUGUUUUAUGUAAGCAACUCUACUUGUAACAUCUACAAGCAGACCCUUAGUGCAAUAAGGUUGUUGGUGAAGCAUAGCUUCUGAACCCUGCAGACGUUUUCUGUCUGUCACCUUUUAUCUUCCGCACACCCCCUAUCCAGGUUGGGACCCUCUUGCUGGCCAAGAGCCCCCAGCAGACGUGCUACUCUUCUCAAAGAUUUACUGACUGUUUCCUCCUUUUCCUCCUCUUUCUAGCAAUGCAAAAUUUUUGUAAUCUGGAUUUUAUUCUUUAAACAUAAUAGCAUUGACUGUUUCCUCCUCCUCCUCCUCCUCCUCCUCCUCCUCCUCCUCCUCCUCCUCCUUUUCCUCCUCCUCCUUCUCCAAUGCGCAGCAAUUCACAAUUUGUUUUGCUUGGAUUUUAUCUUUUCAACAUAAGAUAGACUGGUUGUUUCCUCCUCCUCUUCCUCCUUUUCCUCCUCCACCUCCUCCUUUUCCUCCGGGCAGCAAAUCACAAUUUUUUAGCUUGGAAUUUAUUCUUUCAACAUGAUAAGAUUUACUGAUAGUUUUCUCUUUCUUCUUCUUGUUCUUCUUUUUUUUCUUUUCCUCCUCCUCCUCCUCCUCCUCCUCCUCCUCUUUCAAUGCACAGCAAUUCACAAUUUGUCUAGCUUGGAAUUUAUUCUUUCAACAUAAUAAGAUUGACUGAUUGUUUUCUUCGUUUCCUCCUUUUUUAUCUCACAGCAGUUCAUAAUUUUUUAUCUUUGAUUUAUGCUUUAAUCAAAAUAAGAUUCACUUCUUGUUUUCUCUUUUUUCUUUUCCUCGUUUUUCUCCUCUUUUUCCUCAUUCAUCCAACAAUUCACAAUAUUUCAACUUGGAUAUAAUUAUUUCAACAUGAUAAGAUUGACUGAUUGUUUCCUUUUCCUCCUCUUCCUCCUCCUUCUUCUCCUUCUCCUCUUCCUUCUCCUCCUUCCCCAAGCAGCAAUUCACAAUUUUUCUAGUUUGGAUUUUAUGCUUUCAACAUAAUAAGAUUGAGUGAUUGUGUCCUCCUCCUCCUCCUCCUCCUCCUCCUCCUCCUCCUAUAAUGUGCAGUAAUUUACAAUUUGUCUAGCUUGGAUUUAUUCUUUAAACAUAAUAAGAUUGAAUGAUUGUUUCCUCCUCCUCUUCCUCCUUCUCCUUUUUCUCUUUUUCCUCCUCCUCCUCCUCCUUUUCAAUUUUCAAUGAAGCUGAAGCUGAGGUACAGAAGGCCCAUGAUUAUAAUAUGUAUACAUAUUUUUUAAGUUCACAAUAACAAAUCAUAGUUUAUAUAUAAAAGGAAAGAGAAAAUGCAGAAACAUAAAGCAAGUUGAGAGAAGUUAGAGUUGAACCAUUAUGAUAAUGAGAGUAUUUUAUUGCUGAAUUAAAAUACAAAAGUAGCUCAAGUAAGAAAACAAAAUCUAUUCAUUUUUCUUUAGAGAAAACCUAAAACAAAAUAAUAGAGUCACGCAUUGCUUAAUGACAGAGAUUCAGUCUGAGAAAUCCGUCAUUAGGCAAUUUCAUCAUCAUGCAAACAUCAUAGAGUGUCCUUACACCAGCCUAGAUAGUAUGGCCUACUACACACCUAGGCUGCAUAGUAUGGCCCCUGACUCUGAGGCUACAAACCUGUACAGCAUGGUGCUGUACUGAAUACUACAUGUAACUAGUACAAUGGUAACGAUUUGUGUAUCUAAAUAGAAAAUGUACAGUAAAAGUACAGUGUUAUAAUCUUAUGGGACCACCAUCACAAAUGUCCUUCAUCAUGGAUCAAAACAUCAUUGUGUGGUAUGUGACUGUAUAUAUAUAUAUAUGGUGAAAAACUCAAUAAAUUCCCUGAAGUAAUAAUUGUACCAAAUAUAUUUUCUGACUAUAACACAAUAAACCUAGAAAUAAAUUUAUGUUUAAAUUACAAGAAAAAGCCAAGCCACUGGAGAUUGAAAAAUGAAUUUCAAAGAGAAUAUAAAAUAUGCAAUUAGAAUAUGAGAACAUUAUAUAUAAAAAUAUAUUAAAUGUAGACAAUAUUACACAUGGAAACAAAUUGUAGCCUAAACAUUUUAAUUAGUAAAAAGCAGUAAAGAGAGUACUGAAUGCAAGAACUGUAAGAAACUCCAUAUUAACUGGUCAUAGUACUAAAAUAACACAAUGUUUACAAUAGCAAAAAAUUUAGAGCAACUGUAUCUUUAACAAUAAAAAAUAUUUUAACAGAUGGCCAAGUGCAGUGGCUCAUGCCUAUAAUCCCAGCACUUUGUGAGUCUGAGGAGGGUGGAUCACGAGGUCAAGAGAUCAAGACCAUCCUGGUCAACGUGGUGAAACCCCGUCUCUACUAAAUAAUACAAAAAUUAGCUGGGCAUGGUGGUGCCCGCCUGUAGUCCCAGCUACUUGGGAGGCUGAGGCAGGAGAAUUGCUUGAACCGGAAGAGUGGAGGUUGCAGUGAGUCAAGGUUGCGCCACUGCACUCCAGCCUGGGUGACAGAAUGAGACUCUGUCUCAAAAAAUUAAAAAAAAAAAAAGAAAAAAGCUAAUAGUGUUUGUUUCUGAGUCAUUAAAUUAUAGAUUUUUUUUUGUUGUUUAAUUUCUUUUACAUUAUCCAUAUUUUCAGUUUUUCUACAAGGGACAUGUAUU